rnacentral:rRNA from 1 species
CCUACGGGUGGCUGCAGUGAGGAAUAUUGGUCAAUGGGCGCAAGCCUGAACCAGCCAAGUCGCGUGAGGGAUGAAGGUUCUAUGGAUUGUAAACUUCUUUUAUAAGGGAAUAAAGUGUGGGACGUGUCCUGUUUUGUAUGUACCUUAUGAAUAAGGAUCGGCUAACUCCGUGCCAGCAGCCGCGGUAAUACGGAGGAUCCGAGCGUUAUCCGGAUUUAUUGGGUUUAACGGGUGCGUAGGCGGCUUUUUAAGUCAGCGGUGAAAGUUUGUGGCUCAACCAUAGAAUUGCCGUUGAAACUGGGAGGCUUGAGUAUGUUUGAGGUAGGCGGAAUGCGUGGUGUAGCGGUGAAAUGCUUAGAUAUCACGAAGAACCCCGAUUGCGAAGGCAGCCUGCUAAGCCAUGACUGACGCUGAUGCACGAAAGCGUGGGUAUCAAACAGGAUUAGAUACCCUGGUAGUC